rnacentral:rRNA from 1 species
AUUGAACGCUGGCGGCAGGCCUAACACAUGCAAGUCGAGCGGAGCGGCGGGCGGGUAAGUAAUGCCUAGGAAUCUGCCUGGUAGAGGGGGAUAACGUCCGGAAACGGGCGCUAAUACCGCAUACUAUCAGAUGAGCCUAGGUUGGAUUAGCUAGUUUGUGGGGUAAAGGACUACCAAGGCGACGAUCCGUAACUGGUCUGAGAGGAUGAGCAGUCACACUGGAACUGAGACACGGUCCAGACUCCUACGGAAGGCAGCAGUGGGGAAUAUUGGACAAUGGGCGAAAGCCUGAUCCAGCCAUGCCGCGUGUGUGAAGAAGGUCUUCGGAUUGUAAAGCACUGUAAGUUGGGAGGCGGUACCAACAGAAUAAGCACCGGCUAACUUCGUGCCAGCAGCCGCGGUAAUAC